GAUGAACGCUGGCGGCGUGCCUAAUACAUGCAAGUCGAGCGAACAGACGAGGAGCUUGCUCCUCUGACGUUAGCGGCGGACGGGUGAGUAACACGUGGAUAACCUACCUAUAAGACUGGGAUAACUUCGGGAAACCGGAGCUAAUACCGGAUAAUAUAUUGAACCGCAUGGUUCAAUAGUGAAAGACGGUUUUGCUGUCACUUAUAGAUGGAUCCGCGCCGCAUUAGCUAGUUGGUAAGGUAACGGCUUACCAAGGCAACGAUGCUUAGCCGACCUGAGAGGGUGAUCGGCCACACUGGAACUGAGACACGGUCCAGACUCCUACGGGAGGCAGCAGUAGGGAAUCUUCCGCAAUGGGCGAAAGCCUGACGGAGCAACGCCGCGUGAGGGAUGAAGGUCUUCGGAUCGUAAAACUCGGUUAUUAGGGAAGAACAAAUGUGUAAGUAACUAUGCACGUCUUGACGGUACCUAAUCAGAAAGCCACGGCUAACUACGUG
rnacentral:rRNA from 1 species